AACGAACGCUGGCGGCAUGCCUAACACAUGCAAGUCGAACGAGACCUUCGGGUCUAGUGGCGCACGGGUGCGUAACGCGUGGGAACUUGCCCUUAGGUUCGGAAUAACUCCCCGAAAGGGGUGCUAAUACCGGAUAAUGUCUUCGGACCAAAGAUUUAUCGCCUUUGGAUGGGCCCGCGUUGGAUUAGCUAGUUGGUAGGGUAAAAGCCUACCAAGGCGACGAUCCAUAGCUGGUCUGAGAGGAUGAUCGGCCACACUGGGACUGAGACACGGCCCAGACUCCUACGGGAGGCAGCAGUGGGGAAUAUUGGACAAUGGGCGAAAGCCUGAUCCAGCAAUGCCGCGUGAGUGAUGAAGGCCUUAGGGUUGUAAAGCUCUUUUACCCGGGAUGAUAAUGACAGUACCGGGAGAAUAAGCUCCGGCUAACUCCGUG
rnacentral:rRNA from 1 species